UGAAUAGGUUUUCUAAAAAGAAGCUGGCAGCUUUCCAGCUCUCUUCUCAAGGACCAGUGUUUGUAAUUCCAGUGGCUAACACGUAAUUACAGUCUCAAGCUUGCUUUGAGAAAAGUGCUGGGCUUUCUUUGUGUCUGGUCUUCUCAACAGCUGUGUCAUCAGGCUGGCUGCCUACUCACCGUUUCAAACACUUCAAGAAAAUAAAAUGGAUAUCUAGUAAAAGAAAAGAAACAUGUUUCCAUGCCCUUGGAAGGAGGAGGAAUGGUCUCCAUUUUGCUCUUCAAGAAGAAAAUACUUACGAAGCCAACACAGAUGUGGGACCCACUCACACCAGUUCUGUUGUGCGUGUCCCUCUAGCUGGUGCAAGUUUCGUGCACAUGAAGUAUAUGUCCUGGGAAGACACUGGGACCCUUACUCUUCAAUGAGUGUUUUCACCAACACUGACCAGGUGCUGAUGGGAGAUAGUUUACCUUCAAAUUUUUUCAAGUUUUUUACUUUACAACAAAUAAAAAGAAAGAAUCUCUUUCUGCCCCUCAUGCUAAAGAGACUGCUCUGCAAAAAAAGUUCUGCAAAGGCUAACAUGAGGAAGAAAGCUCAAGCAUCGGACACAUGUUAUCUUCUGGAGGGUUUGUAGGAAGCUGGAAAGGGGACCACGGUGCUUACUAAAAGCAACGAAUCCCUGUUGUUUUCUAAGGAGAGACCGAAAGGAUGUGGAUUCUGACAGGAGAGAAAGUGAGCAAGAUCAUUCUAGAGCAUGGAACAUGAAUCCAGACUGUUAACACAAGGCACAGAGAAUCUACUUGAUGAAGCAUUUCUGGCAUGAGCGAGGUUCCGCAUCCAUUACCAACAGGGUUUCAUCAUCGAAAAUGUACGGUGUCGUUUCUAAUGGGAAACAUUUCCUGGCACCCGUGUGUACUCAGCUUCGGGCUCUCAUCAGAUAAAAAUGCUGUGACAAUCACAGCCUAAUUUGUCUUGAGUGUUUUGAGAGACUUAAUGAUAGUACUGCUUUUGAUCUUUGGGUGUAAAUGUAGCUUUUUAAAAAAAAUCAUCUGGGAGUUGUUUCCUCUAUGUUUUCAGUACCACCUCAAUACAUUUUUCGGGGAUAAGAUAUGUCUCUUUUUUUCCUUUACAUUGUUGUUCACUUGUUUUAAGUUAACACGCAGUAAUGAGUUGAAUCAUGUUUUUCCUACACAUGUACCGAUGCACUUGGCCCAUACUCACUCCUGACUACCACCCCUAUCCUUCCCCUUCUCUCCUGGUUAAUCUCCAUCCCCUUCCAUGUCCUAUGUUUGUCUGGGUAAAUACGUUGUAACAUCUAGAGCCCACAAAUGAAAGAAAUGUGACAUUUUGUGUUUUCAUCUGUCCUCUUUUUGCUUUUGAGAACUAUCUGUUCAACCCAUUUUGCCUAUUUUUUGAGUUUUAUUAAUUUUUGGUGUAUAAUCUUUUAGUUCUGUGCAAAUUACAGGUAUUGGUUUCCUACCAGGGGUCCAGGUUACACAGAUUUUCUCCCAUCCUGUAGGCUGUCUUUUCCCUCUACUGCUGUACAAAAACUAUCUAAACUUCAGGUACUGUCCUGAGCCUGACCAAUACAGAUGUGGAUGCUUGCAGCCAACCAUUGGACUGAGCACGGCGUCCCCAAUGGA